rnacentral:rRNA from 1 species
UACGUAGGGGGCGAACGUUAUCCGGAAUGAUUGGGCGUAAAGGGUAUGUAGGCGGACCUGUAAGUCAGGUGUGAAAGGCAUGGGCUCAACCCAUGUAAGCACUUGAAACUGCGGGCCUUGAGGGAAGGAGAGGUAAGUGGAAUUCCUAGUGUAGCGGUGAAAUGCGUAGAUAUUAGGAGGAAUACCGGUGGCGAAGGCGACUUACUGGACUUUUACUGACGCUGAGGUACGAAAGCGUGGGGAGCAAACAGG